rnacentral:rRNA from 1 species
UACGGAGGGUGCAAGCGUUAUCCGGAUUCACUGGGUUUAAAGGGUGCGUAGGUGGGCAGGUAAGUCAGUGGUGAAAUCUCCGGGCUUAACCCGGAAACUGCCGUUGAUACUAUUUGUCUUGAAUAUUGUGGAGGUAAGCGGAAUAUGUCAUGUAGCGGUGAAAUGCUUAGAUAUGACAUAGAACACCAAUUGCGAAGGCAGCUUACUACACAACGAUUGACGCUGAGGCACGGAAGCGUGGGGAGCGAACAGG